GUUGUCAUAUAUUUCAUAUAUGGUACAAAAUUUGUUAUUGCAUGCAUGUAUACAUAUACCGAAUACUAUUUCUAUGAUAUGCAACCAUAGUAUCCUAGUUAGCAGAAUACUAGAGCUGACUAGGUCCCUCAGAUAUUAGGUGUAGAUGAGGGCAAGUACAUGUAUUAGUCAUUAUAGUUUUUCACUAUCCACUUCAUGCGGUACCGGCAGUUCAACCAAAUUGACAAGAGUACACCAACCACCAUUAGAUAAAGCUCAACUCUUUCAUCAAGACAAUUUUCAUUCGCUCUAACAAUGAUUGGCAACCAAUCAGUCUUGAGUAAUUUACCUGGUCUAGAAGGAAGACACAAGUCUUUGAUAGCCAAACAGUCAACUUCACAUUCAAGUAAAGAGGCACAGCUAAAUUCCAACAUCCCAAUCC
rnacentral:lncRNA from 1 species